AAAGGCUUCAUUUAUAGAAAGAUUUGUCAAGCCUUUUAAUGUUAAUUUUACAAAAUUUCAUCUGCAAAAUACUCGUACUAACCAACCUAAAAAGUAUUAAAGUGGAAUAUAUGUUUCCAGCUGGGAGCUAUUGCACUAUUGUUUUAUCAUUAUCUUAUUGCAAAAAAGAAAUUAUGUUCAUAUUUUCAACAACUUUGUUAAUGCUGUGAAUCAUAAGAAUUAAUGUAAACCUAUUAAUUACAUAUCUGUAAUGUAAGUUUGUGUUCAAGUACCAAGUGAGUACUCUGUUCUAUUUCUGGAAAGUGUUCUUUAUUAUUUCUUUUUAUUUCUUUUUAAUGAAGUUAUACUUCAGCACUUUAGAGAUGUUUACUUUAUACCCAUGCAGAAAUUUUAAGAUCAGCAUGAUCUCUUAUCAUAAACAUUUUGUAUUUGCCUUGCUUUGCUAUUUUUAUGUGUACAUUUGCAUUACCGGUUAUAUAAACGUUCUAUAUACUUGACAUACAUCAGAAAAUGAAAUACUGGAACAUCUACAGUGAAAUGUACUCCAGUUUAUUGGCAUUUUUUGUACUGUAUCAUCUUUUGAUGAAUUUUGGUUGUUUUUAUAUUAGUCUAGUAUAACUUUGUUGAGGUAUACAGGGAAACAAUGAUUGGGGCUGAGACACAUAUUGUUAGUUUAACUGUUCAUUAAAAUAUAUGUAGAUAAGAACAUAAUUACACACAUAAAAUAAACUGUUCAUUAAAAGAGACAGACACGCACCCCCUAUAGUUUCUCAAGUCAUUUACAAGAUUGUCAGUACUUUGUUCUACUCAAUAACUUUUGGUAGAUCUCCGUACAUUAUUACAGUGAUACUGGUGUGUGACCAGUUCUCGCUGAGUACUAUUUCUCACCAGUGCAUUGUUACGUCAUUUUAUCAACACAAAAAUUGACAUGGGAAAAAUGACAUAACAAUGCACUGGUGAGAAAUGGUACUAAGCGAGAACUGUUCGCACGCCAGUAUAUCUGCGACAUGUUUUUCUAUGGCUGCAGCCUAGCACUACUCUAUCCAUAUUGAUUUUCACAUCCUAAAGAAAGUAACUUUUGAAUUCUGAACAAUGAUUUUGGGCAAAAUUCUUUUUGACCAUUAUUUUCAUUUUAGCAAUGAGAUCUAUCAUAGUGUUAAAUAAUGCCCAUAAAAAACUACCGGCUUGAAGAUGGUGCCCCUCCUGCUAUGAAAGGAGCAGACUGUAAAUAUAAAUUAUAAAUACAAAUUGAAUCCUGCCAAUAUUUUGGGAGGUAUUAUGACAGGUUAUUAAAGAAUUUAAAACU
rnacentral:misc_RNA from 1 species